AGUCAUGGCAAUGCAGCAGGAUACCUCCUACUUCAUCUUCUGAGACGCAUCUCCUGUAGAUCUUAUCUUUACAGAGAGUGUAAAGAUAAGGCUCAUCCCAGUAGUAAUGGUGUAUGUCUCUGAAAAACUUCUUCCUUUCAUAACUGGUCAGGUUAGGAGGCUCUACUCCGCAUGCCAAGUAAUUGACGUGAUCAACAUACCAUGGAGAUCCUCCUUCAACAGCAUUCAGUUGGUGGAACUCUUUCCCACUGUACCUCCUUCCGAAGAAUUCUACAACCAUGAGCUGCUCUUCUGGCAUUGAAUCGUCUAUCGGAAUGGGUUCUUCAAUUCUCAUCCUUCAUA
rnacentral:sRNA from 1 species